rnacentral:misc_RNA from 1 species
UCCGUAGCAACGCCACGGCAGUCUCCGGUGACACAGGUAACACCGGACAAGGGUUGCGCUCGUUGCGGGACUUAACCCAACACCUCACGGCACGAGCUGACGACAGCCAUGCAGCACCUAGUUUCGUGCCCUUGCGGGAAGGCUGAUUUCUCAGCCGGUCACUAACUUUCAAGCCCGGGUAAGGUUCCUCGCGUAUCAUCGAAUUAAACCACAUGCUCCUCCGCUUGUGCGGGCCCCCGUCAAUUCCUUUGAGUUUCAAUCUUGCGACCGUACUCCCCAGGUGGAUUACUUAAUGCUUUCGCUUAGACGCGUACUGUAUAUCGCACACAUCGAGUAAUCAUCGUUUAGGGCGUGGACUAC